CGCCGCGGAUCCCACGAACGCCGCCGCCGCCGCCGUCGCGGAUCCCACGCCCGCCACCGCCGCUGCGGAUCCCACGGACGCCGCCUCCGCGGAUCCCACGGCGCCACCCCGCCGCCACCUCGCCACCGCUGGUCGCCUGGCGCGGCGUCACCCCGCCGCCACCUCAGCCAAGCGUCGCGCCGCCCCUCCAAACCCUAGCCCGCCCGCUCCGCCCGCCGACGGAUCGCUUCCGCUCCUCCACGUGGCGAGCCGCGGCGACCUCCGCCUCUUCAAGAGGCUGGUGAGAGAUCUGGAUCAGGGCAGGGGCCGUCCCAGGGAGGUGGUGGAGGCGGCCAAGGACCAAGGUCUCGUGGCGCUGCACUUCGCUGCCGGGAAGGGAAGGCCACGGGUGUGCAGGUACCUGGUCGAGGAGCUAGGGGUCGAUGUGGACACCGUCGACGAUGGAGGCACCGGCACCCGGCGGUGCGCUCUCCGGGACUCUGCCACUUGAAGGGGCGAGGAGGAGCUACGGAUGCUAGCGAUUAACAACGUUGUGCAGAAGGCAAGCGCAGGACACUAUUUUGGAUUAGCUUAUAUUUUUCGGGCAAAGUUGUUCAUUUUAUUAACAUGGCAAAGUUCAGACAUUGAUGCAAAACAGCGAUAUGCCUUGAUGCUCGCAGGAAACAGAAACAGAGCUACAUGAGAUAAUUUUCAAGAAGUGUUCACUUAUAAUAUUGAAAUAUGUUUUCAUCAGACUAUUGUCAAGAAUUGUUCAAACCAGACAGUAGCUGUUCGAACAAUAUCUACUUGCAUGACACAUGAGGAUUGUGUAUGACUUGCCCG